rnacentral:rRNA from 1 species
GACGUAGGAUGCGAGCGUUGUCCGGAUUUAUUGGGCGUAAAGAGUUCGUAGGUGGUUUUAUAAGUCUGGUGUAAAAGGCUGAGGCUCAACCUUGGUACAGCACUGGAUACUGUAAGACUAGAGUGCAGUAGAGGCAAGCGGAAUUCCCAGUGUAGCGGUGAAAUGCGUAGAUAUUGGGAAGAACACCGGUGGCGCAAGCGGCUUGCUGGGCUGUAACUGACACUGAGGAACGAAAGCUAGGGUAGCGAAUGGG